rnacentral:rRNA from 1 species
UACGGAGGGUGCAAGCGUUAAUCGGAAUUAUUGGGCGUAAAGCGCACGCAGGCGGUUGGAUAAGUUAGAUGUGAAAGCCCCGGGCUCAACCUGGGAAUUGCAUUUAAAACUGUCCAGCUAGAGACUUGUAGAGGGGGGUAGAAUUCCAGGUGUAGCGGUGAAAUGCGUAGAGAUCUGGAGGAAUACCGGUGGCGAAGGCUGCCCCCUGGACAAAGACUGACGCUCAGGUGCGAAAGCGUGGGGAGCAAACAGG